GCCCUGGUAGUUCAACGGAUAGAAUAGGAGCCUUCUAAGCUCUAGAUCAAGGUUCGAUUCCUUGCCAGGGCA
rnacentral:tRNA from 1 species